AUUGAACGCUGGCGGCAGGCCUAACACAUGCAAGUCGAACGAGUGGCGGACGGGUGAGUAAUGUCUGGGAAACUGCCCGAUGGAGGGGGAUAACUACUGGAAACGGUAGCUAAUACCGCAUACUAUCAGAUGAGCCUAGGUCGGAUUAGCUAGUUGGUGGGGUAAAGGCCUACCAAGGCGACGAUCCCUAGCUGGUCUGAGAGGAUGACCAUCCACACUAGAAAUGAGACACGGUCCAGACUCCUACGCGAGGCAGCAGUGGGGAAUAGUGCACAAUGGGCGCAAGCCUGAUGCAGCCAUGCCGCGUGUAUGAAGAAGGCCUUCGGGUUGUAAAGUACUUUCAGCGGGGAGGCGUUACCCGCAAAAGAAGCACCGGCUAACUCCGUGCCAGCCGCCGCGGUAAUUC
rnacentral:rRNA from 1 species